rfam:Brassica napus, WGS project CCCW01000000 data, contig: 257
GGAAUAUAAGAAACCGUAUCUUAACUUUUAACUAAAAAAACUAAGAACCGGUUCUUAAAUCUCUUAUUUAAGAGCCGGUUCUUAGCUUUUUUAGUUAAAAGUUAAGAGACAAUUUCUUAUAUUUU